rnacentral:rRNA from 1 species
UACGUAGGGGGCAAGCGUUGUCCGGAUUUAUUGGGCGUAAAGAGCGUGUAGGCGGCCAGGUAGGUCCGUUGUGAAAACUCGAGGCUCAACCUCGAGACGUCGGCGGAAACCCUCUGGCUAGAGUCCGGAAGAGGAGAGUGGAAUUCCUGGUGUAGCGGUGAAAUGCGUAGAUAUCGGAAGGAACAUCAGUGGCGAAAGCGGCUUCCUGGUCCAGCACCGACGUUCAGGCACGAAAGCGUGGGGAGCAAACAGG